rnacentral:lncRNA from 1 species
CACAAGACAAAGUCGAUGCACAUACUGAAGAGAGAUUUGAUAAGACAGAGGACCUGAAAAGACCAGUUCCUGGUGAGGAUUUUUUCUCCAUUUAUUCAAGAAGUACAUGUAGUUAUGUUUGUAACCAGAAAUGAAGAAGGUGAAGCACCCAACCAACCCACGAGCCAACAAAUGUGUGUUUGCAAUUGAUAAACUCUGACAUCUCCUUUGUGCAGGAGCUGCUAUUAACAUCACCAGGAGAAAAUUGUUAAGGCUGGAUCUGGGAGAGGCAAGUAUUUCCACAUAGCAGUAAUAGCUCCUUAGUCCCCACCCCCACUUCAGUACCUCCACCUGGUCCAUCUACACAGCCAGGCGGGGUGAGAGCUCAAUGACCUCCAAGCAGGAAGCUGGAGACCCCCUCUCCAUUGAGCAAGAUGCAAAUGUUUAGGGGAAAGGUGAGAAAGGAGGAUGUCUCUGCAGGAACCCAAGUCACCAUGCUGUGGUGUGGUCAAACCAGUGACUCUCACCAUGUAGGCAGCCAGUGGCUGGGGGAUGGCUGCUGCUGGUGUGAUGACCCCUCCUCAUAAAUUUAAACUUAGAAGACCAUCUUUGAUGGUCACAAGCUGUGUGAUCUCUGCUCAGCCACCUUGUUCUGAUCAUUUCCCAAGUGAGAGCCACGAAUAAUAUUUCAACUCCUAUGAUCUUUAUAUCCACCACCAAGGAUCCUCCUACCACCCUUACAUUAUGAAAACUGGGCUAGAAUCCCUCUUGAUUCCAACUUAAAAGCUUUAUAUGCUGUCUAUG